UACAGAGGGGGCAAGCGUUAUUCGGAAUUAUUGGGCGUAAAGGGCGCGUAGGCGGCUUUGCAAGUGACGGGUGAAAUCCCUCGGCUUAACCGGGGAACUGCGUCCGAUACUGGAUGGCUUGAGUUCGGGAGAGGGAUGCGGAAUUCCAGGUGUAGCGGUGAAAUGCGUAGAUAUCUGGAGGAACACCGGUGGCGAAGGCGGCAUCCUGGACCGACACUGACGCUGAGGAGCGAAAGCCAGGGGAGCAAACGGG
rnacentral:rRNA from 1 species